CCUACGGGAGGCAGCAGUGAGGAAUAUUGGUCAAUGGACGAGAGUCUGAACCAGCCAAGUAGCGUGAAGGAUGACUGCCCUAUGGGUUGUAAACUUCUUUUAUAUGGGAAUAAAACGUUCCACGUGUGGGAUUUUGUAUGUACCAUAUGAAUAAGGAUCGGCUAACUCCGUGCCAGCAGCCGCGGUAAUACGGAGGAUCCGAGCGUUAUCCGGAUUUAUUGGGUUUAAAGGGAGCGUAGGUGGAUUGUUAAGUCAGUUGUGAAAGUUUGCGGCUCAACCGUAAAAUUGCAGUUGAAACUGGCAGUCUUGAGUACAGUAGAGGUGGGCGGAAUUCGUGGUGUAGCGGUGAAAUGCUUAGAUAUCACGAAGAACUCCGAUUGCGAAGGCAGUUCACUGGACUGCAAUUGACACUGAGGCUCGAAAGUGUGGGUAUCAAACAGGAUUAGAUACCCUAGUAGUC
rnacentral:rRNA from 1 species